GACUUAUCAAGAGAGAUGGAGGGAUUGGCCCGAUGAAGUCUCAGCAACCAGCCUAGAUAAGGUAUGGUGCUAAUUCCAAUAGGCUUACAAGCCUUAAAGAUAAGAA
rnacentral:ncRNA from 20 species